UUCGAAAUCGGUAGACGCUACGGACUUAAAGAAAAUCCGUUGGCUUUAUUGACCGUGAGGGUUCAAGUCCCUCUACCCCCA
rnacentral:tRNA from 1 species